rnacentral:lncRNA from 1 species
CAGCCUCCCGGCCACCCCAGGUCAGCUUCCGGACCGGCGCAGGCUGCCCUCCGAGCGCGUCCCCGGUCAGCAGUCAGCAGGCGUCCCCUCCGCCCGGCCCGGCCAGCCCAGCUCAGGAGGGACGAAGGCAAGGACGACACUCCCCGGCCACCAUUCAUUUCCCCACUGGUCUCCUCAGCUCUGCAGAUUGAAGUGAGUGAAUUCAGAUAUAAUUCAAGCUUGUUAGAGCGCUUUAAAAAAAUACAAAGUUGAUUCGUUGCUUGAGAGCAAGUUAACUACUGCUGCUUACCGGUGAGAGACUUACAGGUGCUUGCCUGAAUUGCAAUAAAGGACUCAUAUAUUGAGCAAGACUUAUUUAUCUCUUCAUUUUGGAGAGCCUCAUAAACUGUUAUUACAGUUUCUCUACUGACUUUGAAAAGUUUGAAAGAGACACCUGUGCAGCUAAGAAAGCAUGAGCACGGCCAGGACAGAGAACCCUGUUAUCAUGGGUCUGUCCAGUCAGAACGGCCAGCUGAGGGGCCCUGUGAAGGCCAGUGCCGGCCCUGGAGGAGGGGGCC